GUCCCUCGCAGAGCUAACACCUUAAUUGAGUGCCGGAGAUAAGCGCCGGAAGGGGCAUUCCUC
rnacentral:sRNA from 1 species